GUGCCAAAAAGGUGAUAAACGACGUUUUCUAGUGAGAAUCGUGAGCUGGAUUUAUGCGCCGACAUCGGAGAGGUGUUUAAUUCCGAACUUGCACACGGUGGAAACACAGCAAAGAACUACACGGCCAACAGCAGCAGUAGGCGACGACGACCUUGACGAGAAAAUGUACCUGUACUUGGCUUGCUGUGAUCAGAGAAAAUUUUGCAAGAGCCAUUGUCGGAAAUUUCGCGCAAAUUUCGUCCGCAGUCCGCUGAAAUGUGGUGUUUUUCAAAAAGUUUUUCCGUUCUAAUGCAUCAGAUUCGUUAAACGAAACAAAAAAUCAUGCUCAUUAUUCAUACCAUUACUUGUGAUACUCGUAGUUGCUGGAUUAUGCACCGCUGUCUUGGAUGAUGAAAAAUUAUAUGCGUUGCUAGUUGUGCCAGAAAUGUCAUUAACCGUGUUCAUAAUGUAAAUAUUAUUUGUUGAAUCAUUCGUUAUUAGAGCAUUAAAAGUGGAAAAAGUUCACAAAAAAUAGUGUGUGAUAGUGAAAAGAGAAAAUAAUAAGUGUUGAAAACGGUUUUGUACACGUCGACUGAGCUCUAUAUACCUACAUAUUACAAAAAAAAUAAGCAACAACAUAAAAGUUAAAAAGCAACAAACAGUGAAUUUUCUGAGCUAGUUUUGCUUGUAAAAUGAAAAAAUUCACUUUCAAAGGAGUUUUAGAUGGUUUUCGAAGUUCUACAGUGAAUCAGCCCUCUUCUCUUGGACCAACAAGGAUCUGCACGGAGCAAGAAAUACAAGAAACAUUACGACCAGAA
rnacentral:lncRNA from 1 species